UGGGGAAUCUUGCACAAUGGGGGAAACCCUGAUGCAGCGACGCCGCGUGAGUGAUGAAGCCCUUCGGGGUGUAAAGCUCUUUCGACAGGAACGAUAAUGACGGUACCUGGAGAAGAAGCUGCGGCUAACUACGUGCCAGCAGCCGCGGUAAUACGUAGGCAGCAAACGUUGUUCGGAGUUACUGGGCGUAAAGAGUGCGUAGGCGGUUUGCCAAGUCUGGUGUGAAAUCUCCUGGCUUAACUGGGAGGGUGCGCCGGAUACUGGCAGGCUUGAGUGUGGGAGAGGGAUGUAGAAUUCCAGGUGUAGCGGUGAAAUGCGUAGAUAUCUGGAGGAAUACCGGUGGCGAAGGCGGCAUCCUGGACCAUUACUGACGCUGAGGUGCGAAAGCGUGGGUAGCGAACAGGAUUAGAUACCCAGGUAGUCCCUGAGCGGGCUGGCAAGGCGCAU
rnacentral:rRNA from 1 species